AAGGAAUAUUGGUCAAUGGACGCAAGUCUGAACCAGCCAUGCCGCGUGAAGGAUGAAGGUCCUCUGGAUUGUAAACUUCUUUUAUCUGGGACGAAAACGGGAUUUUUAUCUCAAUUGACGGUACCAGAGGAAUAAGCACCGGCUAACUCCGUGCCAGCAGCCGCGGUAAUACGGAGGGUGCGAGCGUUAUCCGGAUUUACUGGGUUUAAAGGGUGCGUAGGCGGGCUUGUAAGUCAGUGGUGAAAUCUCUCAGCUUAACUGAGAAACUGCCAGCGAUACUGCAGGCCUAGAGUAUAGAUGACGUUGGCGGAAUAUGACAUGUAGUGGUGAAAUACUUAGAUAUGUCAUAGAACACCGAUUGCGAAGGCAGCUAACGAAACUAUAACUGACGCUGAGGCACGAAAGUGCGGGGAUCAAACA
rnacentral:rRNA from 1 species